GAUGAACGCUGGCGGCGUGCCUAAUACAUGCAAGUCGAGCGAACAGACGAGGAGCUUGCUCCUCUGACGUUAGCGGCGGACGGGUGAGUAACACGUGGAUAACCUACCUAUAAGACUGGGAUAACUUCGGGAAACCGGAGCUACUACCGGAUAAUAUAUUGAACCGCAUGGUUCAAUAGUGAAAGACGGUUUUGCUGUCACUUAUAGAUGGAUCCGCGCCGCAUUAGCUAGUUGGUAAGGUAACGGCUUACCAAGGCAACGAUGCGUAGCCGACCUGAGAGGGUGGUCGGCCACACUGGAACUGAGACACGGUCGAGACUCCUACGGGAGGCAGCAGUAGGGAAUCUUCCGCGAUGGGCGAAAGCCUGACGGAGCAACGCCGCGUGAGUGAUGAAGGUCUUCGGAUCGUAAAACGCUGUUAUUAGGGAAGAACAAAUGUGUAAGUAACUAUGCACGUCUUGACGGUACCUAAUCAGAAAGCCACGGCUAACUACGUG
rnacentral:rRNA from 1 species